rnacentral:rRNA from 1 species
GACGAACGCUGGCGGCGUGCUUAACACAUGCAAGUCGAACGGAAAGGCCCUGCUUGCAGGGUACUCGAGUGGCGAACGGGUGAGUAACACGUGGGUGAUCUGCCCUGCACUUCGGGAUAAGCCUGGGAAACUGGGUCUAAUACCGGAUAGGAGCCCUUUUUAGUGUGAUGGUUGGAAAGUUUUUUCGGUGUAGGAUGAGCUCGCGGCCUAUCAGCUUGUUGGUGGGGUAAUGGCCUACCAAGGCGGCGACGGGUAGCCGGCCUGAGAGGGUGGACGGCCACAUUGGGACUGAGAUACGGCCCAGACUCCUACGGGAGGCAGCAGGGGGGAAUAUUGCACAAUGGGCGCAAGCCUGAUGCAGCGACGCCGCGUGGGGGAUGACGGCCUUCGGGUUGGAAACUCCUUUCGCUAGGGACGAAGCUUUUUGUGACGGUACCUAGAUAAGAAGCACCGGCUAACUACGUG